rnacentral:rRNA from 1 species
UACGUAGGGCGCAAGCGUUACCCGGAAUUAUUGGGCGUAAAGAGCUCGUAGGCGGUUUGUCGCGUCUGCCGUGAAAGUCCGGGGCUCAACUCCGGAUCUGCGGUGGGUACGGGCAGACUAGAGUGAUGUAGGGGGAGACUGGAAUUCCUGGUGUAGCGGUGAAAUGCGCAGAUAUCAGGAGGAACACCGAUGGCGAAGGCAGGUCUCUGGGCAUUAACUGACGCUGAGGAGCGAAAAGCAUGGGGAGCGAACAGG